UUGCUUUUUAUAAGCUCACCAGUUUGUCCCGCCUCUCCUCUGGCAGGAUUGGUUGCCGUUUCCUGCCUUUCGGGGUGAUUGACAGGUUGGUGUCAAAUAACAGAUCACAUGGCAAGUGACGUAACAGGGUAGGUUCUAUAACACUUUCACGCCUCUUUUCUGGAAUUCUCCACGAAGCCCCACCCAGGCCCAGUGUGAUCUCCAGGCCCCCCUGCUUCUGGGAUGGGGCAGAAGCACUGCUCAGGGCAUUAUUUUCGGAGCUCUAGACUGGAGCCUGUGUUUGCAGCCCUUCCAACAAUCGUAUGAGCACCCAGCUCUCUAAAACAUAGUCAUUUCUGUUUCAAAUACCUAAAGUGGGUUCUGUGUUCUGCUUUCAACCCCGACUGGCAAAGGAAAUAACAAUAACUACAACAACAAAAAAUCCACAUGUGUAUAACCUUUUAUUUGUUGUCUCAUCAAUCAGUUUGUGCUGCACCGAGCUUGGGUACAUUGAACGUUGCAUGCUGUUCAACUCAGCAGAGUUUUUCAGGUACCAUACCACGAUUUGCCAAACAUUGAAAUCCCAGGAACAACCUUGGAAAAUGCUCACCAGAGUCCCCCUGGCCCAGAGUGAAAAGAGGAAGACAAAUUCCUCAGAGCCCAAGAGCAAAAUCUGAAAGGCUGUUGACCAUCACCCCCUCCCCAGGAGGCCUUCCCAGAAGAGAUUAGCUUUAAGAGGAAUUCAGAAGAACAGGAGUGUGCCUUAGACGACUCCAAAGUCAAAUGCCUAGAGGAACAUGAAAGGAAGAAAGGAGCUGAGAAGAAGAUACCGCAUUUAGAAGCACUACAUAGGAGCAACCCCUUAGGAUUAUGGAAUUAUUUCUGGCUUGGACCUUGCAAGGUAUUAAAUGAACCCAUGCUAAUUUCUCUUUUUUAAAAAUAAAGAUCAAGCAGAGAAUAUUUAAUUUAGAAGGGGCUAUCCAUGGCUGCGCCCAUCAUUCAUUUUUUUCUAAAGCUCUCUCCUCCAAAAACAACUGAAAGGCCUUACAGAUAAAAACACUCCAAUAUUCCAUAAAUAAAAAGCCAUCAAAAUAGACAUUAAGGCUAACUGAUACAUGCUCGAAUGCUUCUCUCCUCACACAAACAAGUUAUUAUUCUAACAGAAUUGUGCAGUGGAUGCUCUCACCUGUCCAAACAGCAAAAGCAAGUCUCUACAGAGUAGAAAUCAGAGUUCAACGUGAACAGACACUCAUAAGAUUAACUGUACGGAAAUGGAGCUAUUUGGUGGCGGAUAAGCACAGCUCUGGCAUCAAAGUGACAGUCCUUUUGUUUGUAAAUGUGCAUUGCCUCAGAUUAAAUACUUUAGCAACACUAAAGGACAAAGGCAAACAUUCACAUUUUCUGACUGCUCUCUGGAGUGUGCGUGUGUGCGUCUGUGUGUGUGCGUGCGUGUGCGUGUGGCAUGUGUUAGCACAUGCACCCACACACAGCCCGACUCUCACAUCAAGAAGCACAACUGGGACUAACGACAUGUUCAAAGAGAGCGCGACCCCUUGCAGCGCCAGCUCGUGCGUUUGUGUGAGUGGGCAGACAACGAUGGCCCUGCACACGGUCUAGCACUUCCCAGAAAGUGCCACCACCCGGACGGGAUGCGGCCGGCGGCCGGCUAGGUUGUCUGGGUUGCACGAGAUCUAAUGGGAAGGACGGUGUCUGCACUCCCCAGGGACCCGUCCUGAGGGUCACACAUCUUCUGAAAACACUUCUCGUGAUGAGGCCCGUGCAUUGUGCUCUUCCCCUGCAGCUGUCUGACUGUGAAAAGCCCGGGAGAGACAUGGAACUGCGGUUAUUUUUUACACCGAGCACAUUCCACAAAACCCAAGGCUUCUCUUCUGGAGUUGACACUUCUUUUCUGUUAAUCCUCCACCUCUCAUCUUUCUCCCUUUUUCAUCUCCCUAAUCCAUCUGGUUCAGCUGCUAUCUCCACACUCACCUUCUGUGGCUCCAGGCCUUUUGUUCCACCCCCUCCACUUGUGCCUAAAAAUGGCACCACGUCCCCGAGAGUGGCAGCGCCACACUCCCCCCUUCCCCUCCGUCUCAGACUGGAAGGCUAUGUGGACCCAGCGCCUGCAGAAGGUUCCCCAGCACCAGUGUUUUCUGAUGUUGGAAUGUGCAUCUAUUUAGGAAAGCGUGUGGCUCCCACGGCCACGUAUAAACCAGACGCUUGGCAAUUAAACAGCAGAGUCGGGCGCGUGGCUACAGCUCAGGCAUACUGCUCAGAGCGCUCUGCGGUCGGGGUUCUGAUUGUGGCUCCAUCCAAAAUCUUACCUUGCUUAAUGUAUAGCCCUGCGUCUUCAUAAAGAUAUAUCAGAGGGCAGAAUUUACUAGUAUCUUUUGGGAUUGCAUUACCUCUUUUUAAAAAAGCAAUGCUAAAUGAAAUCAACCAAAGUGGAAAUAAUAGCCACAAGUGAUUGUUGUGUGACAUUCAAAAUGUAAAAUGACCACAGAAAAGAAGUUGCUGGUGUUUUAUCUGCAGAAUGAGCCCCAGUUCUAUCUUAAGCCUCUGCAUGCUGCACACGUGUAGCGGAACAUUAGACAAGCCCAGUGUUGCCACUGCCUAGCCUCAUGUGUGACACAGGUACUGAGUGUUGUCAUUUGUUUCAGGAGUACAUUGUGAAGAUUCAUUCAGAAAUGUUUCUAAAGUGCUUUGAAUUCAGUAAAAA